UAAAACUUUCAACAACGGAUCUCUUGGUUCUGGCAUCGAUGAA
rnacentral:rRNA from 1 species